GCUGUAGCUCAGUGGUCGAGCACCUGUCUUGCAUGCAAAAGGUCCCAGGUUCAAGCCCCAAUGGCAUCUCCA